UUUGUUUACCCUGUAAAAUUCAAGAAAAAAGUACGCGUUUCUUUAGUUAUUUGCAAGCCCACCAUUGGGCCAUUCCAAACUGGCACAUCAAUUUUGGUUUUCCUAUCCGCCACCUGGCGCUGGCGGCGGCUCCUCAAACAGCAAAACAGCGCAAACCGACGAGGAAAAGCAACGCGAUCGCCAGCGCAACGAGCGUGAGGCCAAAAAGGAAGAGCAGGACGCUAUCAAUUACAAGGCCCGAUGCCCGAGUAACUCUGCACAAGUAUAUCGCUCGUAAUUAGGCAAUUCAAUUAAAAUGGCCGCAGAGCUGAGUAACUUAUAGUUAAAAUGCACUUUGCAACAAUUGCAUGUAAACAGCGCGACAAGGAGCAACGAGAGGCGCGUUUGCUGGACUUUGAGAUACGGCGCCAGCAAAAGCGCGAGGAGCAGAACCAGCAGCGGCAGCAGCAGCAGCAGCUACACCAGCAUCAGCAACAGCAGCUGCAGCAGCA